UUCUCUGCCUGUGUUUCUCGUUGUACUUGGGGGUCUAUGGGCAGUAAGUUUACAGAAACCUUGAGAGAGUAUCAAUGACACAAUCUCCAUAAAUUUCGUAUUGCCCUUCCUUCCCAACAUGAUGUUUUACGUUGCUUGUCAAUUGAUAUGAACAGCAAUAGGAUUGGUCUUAAUGUGAAAAGCUUUUAUUUUCUUCCACCGCAGAAUCUUACCAUCUUUUAAAAUGUCCUUCCUUCCCAGCCCGGCUCUCAGGCAUACUAUUCUGACGGACGAGGCCGUUUAGAACUAAGGCUACUUCUAACGAGCUUAAAAUUCUUUCUUCCUAUUUUGGUUGCUAGGUCUAAACUUGUAGGCAGAUGCACUCUGUAAGGGUCUGUCAUUGUUUCACUGAGGAAUUUGCGAUUUCUUGAGGAAGUUUGUUUUCUCAAUCCACUCUGCUGAAAGAUCUUGUCGAGGCUGCAGACUACAGAUUGAAAAGAAGGGAAGCCGCUUCUUCUCCUGAGGGUGGCUUCAUUCCACAGGGGCAUCUGUGACGAUGGCGUCCAGAAACUGCCGCCUGAGAAAACACAGGCUGAGAAUGAUGUAAGAACUACCAGCGUGGUCCAGGGAGAGGCUGGGUCCGGCACAACAGGAAGUGUGUGUGUGGCUCCUCCCCCUACACCUAGACAAGCUAAUUCCCCAAGUGAUAUGGCUCCCCGCCCUCUACAGGUUCCAAGCCUCCAUCCAGUGCAGUUCCCAUCGGUAAAUGUGGACAACCGCAAGCUUAUAUCCAGUAAAACUCAAUCCACCAUUCCUGCUUGGAACGAGGCUUCUGGUGGGGAGAGAUUUCCCACGUCACAGCAAGUGUGCUCAGUGAUAAGCAAAUUCUGCCAGUUUCUUCGACGAGCAGCCCCGUAAAGCAGAAGUUAAUUUCUGAUAACCAGAUAUAGCUGUGGCAUGCAUGAAGCAGCGCACUUCUAAUUUUUAGGACUACAAUUAAAUUGCAAAUAUUCUAACUUCGGCUUCUCAUGUGAAAUGAAAAAUGUCACAGAUGUUCCCCUCAUGUCCCCUGAGGGACAGGCAAGGCCUGCUGAGCUGCAGGUUGGCGAUGUGGUUCAGUGUCUUCUUCAGCACAAGGAAGAAUUUCGUCUCUAGAUAGAACAGUGAAAUAUGCUGUCUGCAAAAAGCAGGAGCCACACCGCGGACCACCGGCCUUAUUAUUUAACUGUGCAGUCUCACCUAAUAGUUCUUAACCCUCUAUUGUUUUCUCAUACUUUCUUUUCCAGUAGAGAAAGGGCUUAUCCAGUCUGGCAGAUAAUAUCUUUGAUGUAAUGCCGUUUUAUUCUUCGUUGUUAUUUUGUUUUGUUUUGUCUGGCGUGUAUUGGUGUUUUGCCUGCACGCAUGAUUGCAGAGACCCGAGGAGGGUACUGGAUCCCUGGAACUGGAGUGGUUGGUGCUGAGAACCAAACCCAGGCAGCGUGCAAAGGCAGCCUGUGCUCUCCCACCCCGACAUACUGCUUUACGUUCGGACAGUUUCUCCUGCGUCUCUGAAGCAGCCCCCAGUUCUCUAGUCUCUCGACCUGUGACUGCGUCUCACUUUAAGCUUACAAAGUGGGCUUGUUGCAAUCGAAGCUUGGACUUUUCCGGCUACCGUUCGAGUAUUUUCCUUCUCUCCCCGGGGUACCUAAAAGGCUGAUUUGCGCUGAAAGCUGACAACUGUGUAGAUUUUACUUUGCUGAGAAGAUGGGAACAUCUCUGUUUUUCAGUGAGGUCUGAAAUGCGCAUCCUCCCUUGUUAAGAAAAUUGUGGGUGUGUACUUAAUUAACCCUCGGCCGUACCUUGCUUAGAAGGGGAAUAACAGACCAAGAUCGUUCCACAGAGAGAAGCAGUUUGCUUAGUUCUAAAUAUAUUUUAUAUAUUUUAUUUACAUAGAUAGUGCGCUUUGGGGGGGAAUCCUCUGAUGUGAUAAAGAGAUGGAAUUUAUAGCAGUUCCAUUUGUACCUCACGCUUGGAUUUUGCUAACUGUGUAGUCAAAGCGAAGGUCAGUGGAGCCUGAGGUGGCCCUAACCCCAUGCAUCCGUCACCUGUGCUCAUAGGUGCAGGCGCUGAGCCCCAGCCAAGCAGGGCUCACCCUGCAUGGCACACAGACUCAAGACCUGUGACACCCUGACAGGAAGGCUUCUCUCUGAAGCAAGCCAGUACAUCUAAUCAUUUUAAGAUAAUACUGUCAAGACUCGGGAGAUUUUGGUACCAAUUGGGGGUUUAGUGUCUGAGAGGGUGAGAAAAUCCCAGGAGGGUGACAAAAUUGUAGUUAUGACCUUGAAGUUAGUUAUCACCGAAGUCUCCUAAAUGAAAAAUUCCUCACGAGAGUCCCUGGGUUAUGAAACCAAAUAGAGUUCAUGCUUUGAGGUUCUGGACCUUAAUGUAUUAGAAUAGUAGUUCUCAGCUUUCCUAAUGCCAUGGCCCUUUAAUACAGCUUCUCAUCUUGCAGUGACUCACAUGAAUAAAAUUAUUUUUGUUGCUACUUCCUAAUUGUAAUUUGGCUACUGUUCCCGCAAUUUGAACACCUCAAUAUAGGUGAUCUCAUCUCGACCCACAUGUUGAGAACUGCUGUAUGAGAAUGCUCAAUUCUGAUGAGAGAGAGAGAGAGAGAGAGAGAGAGAGAGAAACAGUUAAUUAAGAUGUUAAAGAUUGCACACAAAUAAUAAAUAAAGGAUUUUUCAAGUGUGCUAAAUUGCUCACCCCUCAAGAAAAUACAAAUUCAAAAACUAAAAACAAAACAAAAAACCCCCCAAAAAACCCAAAGUCCAAUAGAGAGUUUAGAAGCAUACCACACACGACUAAAGAGGAAUAUAUAUAUAUAUACAUAAUACAUAUAUAUAUGUAUAAACAUAUACUUAUGAACACACACAUAUAAUAUAUAUACACAUAUAUACAUAUAUACACAUAUAUAAAUACAUAUGUAUACAUACACAUAUGUGUUUGUAUUUGUGUGUAUUUGUAAGUGUGUGUGUGUGUGUGUGUGUGUGUGUGUGUUGUUAAGUAGUGUUUAGCCUUAGAAAACAGCUCUGGUUUUAUUUAAAAACUUAUACAUUGAGGCAGAUUGCUAUACAGUUUUAAAUGUUUGUUCCCGGCAUGAGCAUCUUAACAGAUCCAGAGCAAAGAUCAACAAACCUGAACUCACUUUCUUCAAACACAGAAAAGCUUCUAGUGGAAGCACUGAUAACCUUUUCCAGGCGCAAAGAACAACUACGAAAGCAGUAACGAGCUUACAGGCCGCAGAGAGACGAGGUACAGAACUCCUCAUUCUGUACAGUCCUGGAGAUAGGUAAAGAAGGCAGGAGAAAUAGAAAAAUACGCACCAAUGCUACAGAGGCAAAUACCCCACCAGAACCUUCUCUUCUGUGUGGUCGACGGCCAACACAAAGGCCUCCUGUCACCAAGACACAUGGCCUACAGCAGUGCUAAGUAACCUAGCCAUAAAGGACCGUGUAAACUAGCAAUGAAACAGAGAGUGUGCAUUAGCAAGUUCACACUGGGAGGUUACAAACUCACAGAAGAUAAACUACGAUUGUGUACUUCAUGGUGCAAUUGAAGAAAUAGUUUAUUGAAUAGAAAACAAUUGCAUUAAACAAUAUUGCAUUAAACAAAUAUUGCAUUAAAAAGGCGCUAAAAUUUCACAUAGCAUACCACCGUGACAUAUUUGGCUUUUAUUUUAACUUCUUAACUUUAGCAAUCUCCUCAGACCCCUACAUGGUUUGUCUUCUUUCUACUGGGAAAUGGAUUAUCUAAUAAGUAUAUUGAAAACUAUUUCUGUGCAGCACCGUUCAGCUUAAGUGGCAGAAUGACAUGUCACAAAUACAUUUCAAGUAGUAUAUGCUGAUUUCAAUUCUUAGUCUGUUCAAUAACCAGGGUCUCAAAGGUUUUGUUUUGUUUUGUUUUUUGUUUUUAAGGACACAUCCAGCUGUAAACUGGUAACUCAUAUAAUCCUUCCAUUUCCUUGACUCUACCCUGAAACCUCAGGCUAAAACCUUUAUAUUUCAACUCCUUACACUUAAAAUGACAUAAUGCAGAGCACAUUUUAGAAAGUUGGGAGCCAGGAAGUCCAUUCUUGGUCUUUCUCUUCAUCUACUAGGUGAUUUUGAGAAGUGUUCCAACUUCUUAUUGAGACUUAUCAGUGCGUACAGUGGCAAAACUGUACCCUGUGUGGCAGCACCUUACGAUGGUCUGAGAGAGAGAAGAUACACACACAGGGCAAGCAUAAACAUCAGCACAGGAAGGGCUGGAGAGAUGGCUCAGUGGUUAAGAGCACUGACUGCUCUCCAAGAGGUCCUGAGUUCAAUUCCUGGCAACCACAUGGUGGCUCACGACCAUCUGUAAUGAGAUCUGAUGCCCUCUUCUGGUGUGUCUGAAGACAGCUACAGUGUACUCACAUACAUAAAACAGACAAAUAAAAAACAUAAAAUAAAACCAGCACAGGGAAUCUCAGGGAAAGCCUAAAUCACUCCAUGGGCAUCAAUGAUAGAGGAAUUCAGUUUUUUAAUUUAGAAGAUAUGAGGAAAAGCCUCAAGAAGAAGUGACAGCUAAGCCAGAAAUACACAAAGACACACAUGAGUAUUGAAUGAAUUUGUCAAACUGUACCCAGGACAAAAGCCUUUGAAGAAGAGUUCUAGAAGCUGAGUUACAGAGUUGAAUCAGAAUUUGGAUGUUUUCUAUUUUCUUUGCUUAUUUAUCUUUGAGACAGACUCUCAAACAGCUCAGGCUGGCCUCGAAUUGGAGGAUAAGUGAAGAAAUACCCCUUACCCUUGUCACAUGCGUUCAGGGGUUACAGGUGUGUAUCACCAAGUCCUAUUAGUAAAUUUGAUAAUUUAUCAGAAAUCAAGGCCAUUAUAGAGACUUUGUAAACAAUGUGUUCACUAUUAGAGAUGAAUUAAAACGAGGCCCUGGGCAGCCUAAUAAUUCCAAUGCAUAACUUAUCAAAGAGUAUUGCCCUGUUUCAUCUGUUACGAGUUUAGGAGUCAAGUCCCUUUUUUAUAUACAACAAGUUAGUAGCUCACGGUUACUAUUGAGGUUUAAGCAAGCCUUUCACUCAGUUUGGCUUAUUGGAUUGAGCUAUAAUAUAAAUGAAUUCCGGAGGCCCUGUGUCUGUGCAAACUUUGUAAUCAUUUCACUGAAAGCUAUGAUGUUAAUCUAACUAGUAUCCCAGGCUCACUUACCAAUGAAGCUUGUAGGGUUUUUCUUGGUAUCCUCCAUCCAGUUUUAUUUCUGUGUUGAGUACUGACCAUGGUUUCUAGAAUACGCUUUGUGAUUAAAGUUGGGUAUGUGCAGUAUUAUUUCUUUUACCACUUUUUUCUUGGUAGGGUCCCAAAGCAUGUCUCUGUGUAGUGGGAAGCACACAGCACAUUGUAUAGUGUGACGUUUUUGUUUCCAUGUCCAAGUAAAUGAAUUGGAAGGGGGACACUCCAAAAUGAUCAUGAACUAAUUAUUUUAUUGGAUUAAAUAUUUAUUCUUUUUUUCAUCAAUAGGCCUUCAUUUAUGGGACUAGAACUUUGGUAUCCAUAAGAAGUAAAAAUCUGCGAGCCUUGGGGUUCAGAAGCUCUUUCAUUGCGUCUGACUUUGUCUAGGGUGAAUGGUGUUAUCAGUCACAGCCAAAUCUGGAGACAGAAACCACACAGUAGUUUGAAAAUAGAAAGCUUAAUAUAAGAUAUGCUAACGAUGAUGAUGCAGAUUGAAGUAGCAGACUUGGCUAGUAAAGGGAAUUUACAGCAGCCUGCCAUGAGGAGCAGCUGCCGUCACAGGACUGAGGCAGGGUGCUAAGAAACAGCUCCAACUGCACACUGGGAGGAGCUCCAGAUCGCUUUGGCAAAAGCGGAUAACUCGAGUCAUAGAGUGCCUUCUCCCUGGGAUUAGCUAUAGAUCUGAAUGAUGGGGUAGUCGGGGAGCAAUGUGCAGUAAUACACUGCUCCCCAAGACUGGCUGCAGAUUUACUAGAGCCAGGGCUGCAGGAAACCACCCACGGCUGUCCACGGGCAGCCAGCAGAAGCUGAGCACCCAAGGCUAGGCAUGUGACAUUGGAAGGAACGGUGCUGUUCAGGAACAUGAGGCUCCUGCAGAACCUGAGCACUGGCGGACGCACAGAACAAGGAUGGGAGAUGCUCGUGCAGAGGAGCGGGGUGUGAGACUGGGGUGUACAGCAGCCACAUUCGGUUAUCCACGCACGGCAGGCAAUGCGGCCACCAGGCUGGGACAAGAGUCACAGACUGACCGAGGAAUUGCUCUUCCUGGAUAUGGGACAGGAUCAUGGAACUUCAUGUUCUUCAAAACCAGUUUCCUCUUGGCUGUUAUGCAGUGAGAAUAGCAGGGACGCCAGUUCUGUAGAAAUGAAGCACAGAGAGAUUUAAAAGCCUGCAAACAGGGCUCAGAGAUUCACUGUUGCUGUAGAUGUGGCUUGGUGUAGCUAAACACAAACUGAUAGGAGGUUAUGGCCAGAGCUGGAUUGGAGUGAUGAAAUCCAAGAAACUGAACUGUUAGCAUAUUUGGGGACAUUGCCUCUUGAUUUUAUUUGGAUAACGUUGAACUGAACUUAAGCUUGUUUGGGCUCCUAAGCUAGAAUACACUCCGUGUUGAUGUUCCUGUUUUUAAGUAAAGUACAAGAAAAGUGUUAAAGAAAAUUUUAGGUUACCAUACAAAGUAAUGAUAGUUAGUUCUCAUUGGACCAUCCUCACUGCCAUGCCCUGAUCCCCCAUCUGCCUAUAUGGCUGUUUCUCACUUUCCAGCUGAUAGUACCCCAUUGAGUGUGUGUGUGUGUGUGUGUGUGUGUGUGUGUGUGUGUGUGGUAUAUGUGUGGUGUGUGCUUGUGUGUGUUGUGUGUGUGUGGUUGGUGUGUGGUAUGUGUGUGUGUAGUGUUUAUGUGUGAUGUGUGUGUGUGGUGUGUUUGUUUGUGUGUGUGUGGUUAUGUAUGGUGUGUGUUUGUGUGUGCUGUGUGUGUGUGUGGUGUGUGGUGUGUGUUGUGUGUGUAUGGUAUGUGUUGUGUGUGUGGUUGGUGUGUGUCUGGUGUGUUUGUGUGUGUGUGUGGUAUAUGUGUGGUGUGUUUAUGUGUGUUGUGUGUGUUUGUGUGUUAUGUGUGUAUGUGUGGUGUGUGCAUGGUGUGUGUUGUGUGUGUGUUUGUGUGUGUGGUGUGUAUUUGUGUGUGUUGUGUGUGUUUGUGUAUGUGUCGUGUGUGUGUGUGCAUGUGUGUGUGUGUGGUGUGUGUGUUUGUAUAUGUGUGGUAUGUGUGUAUGCAUGUGUGUGUGUGUGUGUGUGUGGUGUGCACACACACACGUGAGCAUGCAUCACGACAUUGGCAAAGGAGAGCUUGCUGGAGUCUAUUCUCUCAUUCUGAUAUGGGAAUCCCCAGGUGCAACUCAGGUCAUCAUGCUUGGCAACAAAUGCUCUUAUCGUCUGAACUCUCAAUAUUCUUUCUCCACUUACAUAGAUCUUUUCUUUACUUGUCAUGCUUCUCUUUUUCUCUUCAUGCCCUCCAUUAUUAUACACACAUACAUGCACACACACAUGCAUGCACGCACACACUCCAUAAUUUUAAACGUAUAUUCUGUUAAUAUGAGAAAGUAUAUGCUAUUUCUACUUCUGGGUCUUGUUUAUUUGAUCUUGCAUAAUUAUUUCCAGUUCCUGCAAACCAAAUGAGAAUGGUCUUUCUCCAUAGAUUCAUUUGUCUGAAUAUUAAUUUCCUUAUUGGGAAGAUGUUAUGGUUUGUCUAUGCUCAGCCUAGGGAGUGGCACUAUUAGAAGGUAUGGCCCUGUUGGAGGAGGUGUGUCACUGUGGGUUUGGGCUUUAAGACCCUCAUCCUAGCUGCCUGAGAGUCAGUCUUCCACUAACAGCCUUCAGAUGAAGAUGUAGAACUGUGAACGUUGUCUGCUGUGUGCCUGCCUCAUGCUGCCAUGCUCUGACCUUGAUGAUAAUAGACUGAACCUCUCAACCUUCAAGCCAGCCUCAAAUAUAUGUUGUCCUUUAGAAGACUUGCUUUGGUCGUGGUGUCUGUUUAUAGCAGUAAAGCCUUAACUAAGACAGCAGUAUUAGGAGGUGUGGCCUUGUUGGAGGAGACAUGUCACGGGAGGCAGGCUUUGAGGUCUCAGAGUUCUCCCUCUGCAUACUUUUUGCAAAGUAAGAGGUAAGUUUUCAGCUGUUUCUGAUGUCAGGUCUUUACUAUGCCAUCAUGGAGUCUAGCCCUCUGAAACUAAAUCCGAUGAAAUAUUUUCCUUUCUAAGUUGCCUCGGCCUUGGUGUUUAGUUACAGCAAUAGAAAAGUAACUAAGACAGCUGUUAUCUCACUUAUAUCCUAUGCAUGAAAAUCCACCGUGAAUACACACCAGAUUUUCUUUAUGCAAGCAUUAGUUGAUGGACAUGUAGGCUGGCUUCAUUCCCUGGCUAUUGUGAUAUGUGUGUAUCUGUGUGGUGUGCUGGGUCACUCUCUGAGUGUGUACUCAGGAGAAUCUUUCCGUUUUCCCGUGCCCUUUAAAUUCUCUUCUGUACUGCCUUGCAGCUUUUGCUUAGAUAUCUUCUUGCCUAGACUCAUUUCUAAGUGUAUUUUUAAGCCAUUGAGAAUGGAAUUUUCCUUUAUUUCUCUUGGGCAGAAAGCCCAUUGUAUGUAGAAAAACUAUUAAAUUCUGUACAUUGAUUUCCUGUUACUUCAUUUGUAGUGUCUAAUUAGGUCUAGGUUUUUCUGGUGCAAUCAUUAGGGUCUUUAAAAUAUAAGAUCUUAUCAACUGCCCAUACAGAUAAUUUGACUUCUCCUUGAUUGCUUGUGCCUCCUGUAUUUUUUCUCUUGUCAUGGCUGCGGGUAAGACUCUGACACGAUGUUGUAUAAGACCUGAGAAAAUGGGCAUCUGUAUCUCAUUCCUGAUUUUGAGGAAAUGAUGCCGAUCUUUCCUCGUUUAUGAUAAUGGUUAUCAUAGGCUUGUCCUACGUGGCCUUUGAAUCAUUUUUCUUCACAGCCUUCAUCAGAAAAGAGUGUUGAACUUCGUUAAAAUUCUUCUCUCCACCAGCUGAGGCGAUCAUGUGACCUUUUCUCUUACAUGUAUUUAUGUAAUGAAUUACAUAACUUGCAAUCCAACAGACUUUGUCAUGGUGUUGGAUUGUCUUACUGUAUUUCUUGAACUGGCAUCUCCAGAGUUCACUGAGCAUUUCCGUGUUUAUGUACAUUUUGGAGGCCUGUCAUUUUCACUUUGGGCCUUCAAUAUCUGUGUGUUCUUUGUCCACGUGGAAUGGCGACUAUCUGCUGCUCAAUUUAUAAAUGGUACUUCCUUUUGUACUCAGACACUUCUUAGUACUGUGCAAAUUUGGUGGUGGUCAUAAAGAACAGGAAAGGAAACACUGAUUCCUAGCUGGUUGGUUGGAACACUUUUCAGAGUGCAGAGGAGUUGAAUAAAGGAAUGUCCCUCAGUUUGUUAGCAGGGUGGCACGAGCCUCUUAAUUAAGAUAUAUCUUUAUGCUCACAAUAUGGCUAGGUUAAAAUAACUAAUCACAAGUGAUUAUGCAUCCCAAUAUUAUCCCGGAAGUUUUUCAAAUUUCCACUGACAGGGUAUUAAGAAAGUCUGACAACACCAUUUGGUUAUUCAGUACCGAACCGUCAUCCUUGGAAACAUAAGCAUACGAGUAACAUUAUACAGACUGAAAAAACCCUCCGUCAUAUCAGAAUAAUAUCUGUAAGCUUCAUUUUGUUAGAAAAUAGGUGCAGAAUUAUAACAUCGGCCCUAAAAUACAUUCAAAUAGUUUCAAAUGAAACUAUUACUAUAAGAACUUCGAGUGAUGAAAAAAACGUUCUUAGUUUACAAAUAAAUACUCCUAACGGUUAUAAAAGUAUGUUAGCUUAUCGAAGGGAAGUACGAAACUAGCUGGCAGUACUGGGAAUCAAAAUGUAGCCUUCCAAAUGCUUUACAAUCAAACCACAUACUCACAGGGACAAUUUUAACUCAGUGCCAUAGAAUGAGCACUGCCACACCUGAAAGAGUAGCAGGGACAAAUCUCACUGAUAUUAUUAAGCCGGUGAAAAUAUUAUGGAAUUCAAAACUAGGUAACAUUUAAUAAGUCAUUGGCAUGAUGACUAAGCUACCUUUUAGGGGUUUGCCUUGGAAUAAAGACAUAGAAGUUUUUGAGAUAUUACUAAUGUCAGGAAAUUAAUCGCAGUUUUGGGGAACAGACAUAAGUAAACCUCACAUUUCAGCAAAGCUAAACUUCAGAGCAGCUAAUCUAAAUUAAUUUUGACUAUAAUUGACCACAACUGGUAAAACUGAACUUUAAAAAUGGAAAAAAUGGGACUGUAGCAAUGACUCAGCAGCUAAGAGCACUGAUUGCUCUUCCUGAGGUCCUGAGUUCAAUUCUCAGCAACCACAUGGUGGCUCACAACCAUCUGUAAUGGGAUCCAAUGCCCCGCUCUGGUGUGUCUGAAGACAGGGACAGUGUGCUCACAUAUGUAAAUUAAAUGAACAGAGAAACAAACAAAUACAUAUUUAAGAAUGGGAAAAUCACAAGUAGUACAACUUAACGUUAGGUAGCCAGUGUAGGACAUUUUCUAGUUCACCAGUGAUGGGAAAGGGAUGCUGAUGUCACUUUGCUUCCUCUUAAUGCCAAACCAAAUUUGACUGUGUCAUACUUCCCACUGUGUAUAGCAAAUGCCUAGAACAUACGGGAAAAAAAGCCAUAAAACCUUCGCAGUGCUGUAGAAAAUGGUGGCUUUUCUUUCUUAAACUUUUUUAUUGCUCUAAAUUAAAAUUUUCAGGUCACUUUCAAUAGGUUUAUAAUCAUUUUUAAUAAUUAUCUGUAACAGUUACUGGGAAGACAAAUGUGUAGGGAGCUACCUGGCCUGCAGAAGGGCACGAUGUAUAAUGCUCGGCCGUUGUAAGGGCAGUUAAGGAGACACAGUCACACUGAGGACUUGUUGCGGACUUGGUGAGGCCAGGAGGAGGUGAGUUUUGGAGAGUGACCUCAGAGUUGGCCUAAGAUCACGUGAGGCUCGGUGUUAAUUGCUAGAUGGGGUAGAAGAAAUCAUUUAAGGAACAUCCCAGAGUGGUUGCCAGGGAUCCGAGAGCUGGUGUCACAUGUGAAUGUCAAGUCACUUCCCUCAGUGCCACACCAAAGUGCCUGACAUCAACUCUUGAGGAAGGAAAGUUUCAGUAGGCUCAUAGUUGCCCAGGGCUCUUUCCAUGGUGGCAGGGGAGCUGGGAAAGACACCAGCUAACACCACUGCAGUCAAAAGAAACAGGAACACCUACCUACACAGAGCUUGCUCUCUCUGUUUCUUCCGCCAGGACUCUUAGCCUCUGGGACUGGGUGCCCAGUAUCCAGGGCAGGUCUUCCCUACCUCCUCAGUAAAUAAAUCCACGCCAGUAUGCUCAGUCAGACAUUUCUCAACCCAGACUGACAGGAGAUCAGCCACUCGAGACAACCUCCAUCAGGAGUAUGCACUCGAAUGAACUUCACUGAGAACAUGAUAAAGGCGGGAUAGAAAGGAAGGGGUGACUUCUACAAUGGCUGCCCGGGGCUCUUUCCUCUGCCUCAGCGUGCUGCAAGGCACAUAAACAACAGUGUGUUUGUUGACACCAUCACUGAAUCGUACAAGUCUACUCCAUGCUUGUACCCAUCUAGCCCCAUACCACCGCAUGAGCCGACACACAGCUAACAUUGUUUAACUGUCCCAGGAGACAUCGGUGUUGGAAACGGUCAGAUGAAGCUAAAUGAGUCACCAGUUUAAUUAGGAAUUACUGUUCAAGAAAAUUGCCUGUUCUGCCUUCCUUCCUUCCUUCCUUCCUUCCUUCCUUCCUUCCUUCCUUCCUUCCUUCCUUCCUUCCUCCUUCCCUCCCUCCCUCCCCCCCACUCUUCUGGUAAGCAGUGAAGUUUCUGUGCAUUUAUGUUAAAAGCUAAAAGUGAUGACUUUUUAAGGAGUCACCUAGUGUUUGUGCCUUGCCCCCCACUGUCUGGCUGUGGUUUCACUUUUCCACAGAUAAACUCGCAACAUCAAAUGACACUCACAAAUUCCAGACAGAUGCCUCCAGUGUCUGGACUCAAGACAAAUUAUAUCACUUGGCUGUCACAAAGAGUGGCUCUUUUGACGUUAUGGAGCAAUUUGUUUAAUGACACAAUUGCUAGUCUGUGGAGCGGAGGCUGUCUCCUUUGUUGCUCAGAAUUCUUGGGGCACUGCAGAGAGCCAAGUAGUCGCAGUGUGGUUGUUGUUAGUUCUGGGCAGCUGCAACCGGCGGCAUUUGGACUGUGGAACAAGGGGCGACUCUCUUCCUCAAGUGGUUGGUCUUCUUUCAGGCUGGGUGAGAAGUUAGUUUUCUAGUGGCUUCCCCCCCCCCCCGAAGGCUGGUUUUUACUAAGCUCAUUAAUUCCAAAGUACAAGACUGUAGAGUCGAGAUCCAUGAGUUUGUGAGUGAAGUCUGUCAACUGUACUAUGUACAAGAGACCCUAAAAUUGUAUUGGGGGGGCCACAAAGAGAUGCAUAAGAGUCCACCCUCCCCACAUUUCCUAAUGAGGACACAGGUGAGCUGUACCUGAUGACCUAACAUGGAAAGGAAAAUAUAAUUUUUGUGUGACAAUAUGAUGAUGGGGGUGAGGGACUCAGGGAAAGGGUCCCUCCGAGGAACCCUAGGGAGGAAGUACUUACUGUAUAUAGGAAGCUGGGCUAUGAAACGUGCAAGGAUAAUGGUCAAUCUCCUGCUACACCAUUUUAUUUCUGCGUCAUAUGCAGAGGGACAUGCAUCCACCCUAGGGAGGAGGGUCCACAGAGGUGACAACCGCAAGUGUCUACACGUGAGUUCCAGACCCAGAAAUUUUGGUUCAGCCAAUCUUGAGUGGGGUUCGAGAAGAUGUACUUUAAAAUGAAAUGUAAAGCUAUAGGUGAUUUCAAUGCAAAUAACCCAUAAACUGCUGCUCUCACAAUUGUUGCCGUUAAAUAUGGAAAGCAGACUGGCGUUUGCAAUGUAAGAACGGCUUUUUCCAGGGAAGAUUUAAUGCAAGAGAAGUAAUUAGUUCUCUGCCUCAAAAUAUGGGUGGAAUUUAUUGCUCAGGUGCUAUGUAAAUUUUAAUUUUAACGUAAUAUGCAUAAUUAGUACUCCCACCUUUUUAAAAUUCUAAAUCCUUUAUCUGGAGAAUACAAGGUUGUCCUUCACCUCGAAUUUUACCUGAGAAGAGAUUCAUCACACUGCUAUUUCUACCCCUAUUCAGAGAUGUGCUAAGAUUGGGGAAUUCAUAAAAUCAGGCUUCGCUUCAGCGACUGGAAAGUGUUCAAGCCGUUUAAAAACACAAUUCUCUCCAACGUGAUCUGAGAGUUAAAGAACCUUAGUCGGCAGCACAGAGUGAGGCCUUUCCCACUUCUGACCAUUAGGUGGCACCCUUCCCCCAUCUCUAGCCUUCUAGCAGGCGGCGCUGAAAGGAUUCCGUGAAGGUAUCCAAAGCAGAGAGAAUCUGGGGAGCUCCUGUCAUCCUGUCAGCCUUAAGGAAUGGCCUUGUUUGAAUUAUUCUUAGAACACAGAAUGACAAUAUUCUCUGCUCUUUACCAACUUGCUUUGGCUUGUCUCACUGCUGAAGGUCACGUUAUCCUGUUCCAGAACCAAUGUAAGGAUCAAUGGACUCUACAGGAGAAGCAGAAACAAAGCAGUCUUCCACACCGGCAAGGAGAAAAAGACAAAGGGUAAAAAAAAGAGAGAGAAAGGUCUGGAAAUGAAAGCAUAUGACGACCCCUCUAGGAAACCAGGGAUCAGGAACAGCAGGGGCCAAGAGGAGAUGAGGGGGUCCUGGCAGACGCUGAACUCUGUCCGGGUUCUUUUCCUUUUCUCAAUGUCAGUUCUCAAGGUCAGACUGGAAAGAAAAUAGGUUAUGUGCCAUGACAUGCUAGUCUGUAGUUUUAGAAGUUGUCCCUGGAAGCCAAGGUUGCAGACUGUGAUGGCCAGUGUCACAUUUCUUCAGAGUCAACACAGGAUGUGAAUGUCUAGCGUUCGGAAAACCCCUACCAGUUGAAUUUAUUCUGGACGGUGGUGUUUUUUAAGCGUUCACACAAUUUUUAAGUUUUCAUCUACGUGUGCUGUAUUUACGUCAUUCUCCUCUCUCCUCCCUCUAACUCUCCUGGUCUCCCCCCACUGUUCCCUUUCAAGUUCAAGGCUCCUUUCUCUUUAGUUAUUAUUGUUUCAUAGAUGCACAUACUUGAAUUAGCUUAUAUUCAACCUUUGAGGCCAUUUGGUGCUGCUUAGUCAGCCUUACUAGUGUAUAAGACGUUACUGGGAGGUUCAGAAUUGUGGGAUUUUAUGGUUCCUGAAUUGGGUGUAGGCUUGUAUUCCUUCGUCCCGGGGGCUAAGACGCAUGUCUGACUUGGGCUGGCCUUGUGCACAAAGCAUCAGUGUCUCACAGCAUCUAGAAAUGGCUUCCUUUAUUUGUGUUUUUCUACUAAGCUUAACUUCUCCCGGGUCGGGGGAGGAACAGAAGCAUGUGGUCUCUAUCUUUAUUAUAGGAAGAAAACAUUCAAAACUCAGGCACCAGGCAAGGUCUUGUAGAAAAUAUCCAGCCAAAAUAAAAUGGUUAAUGGAACUCACUAACACCAAGGGUUCAAUGACUUCAGUUUUAUCCCCCCACCCCACCCCAAAUCUCCAGUAGUCUAAGAUACAGUUACUAAAACAGGUAUUCAAAGUCAUUCAUUAAUCUUUCUUUAAUGUGACUUUCUAUAAUAUCUGCCUCUAUGUUUUAAUAGAGUAUUUUUGUGUACGGGGUCACUUGCAGGUUUGGAUGGUUUUCAGGUGAGAAGCAAAGGUUGUUCUCUCCUUUUCCAUGUGUUCUGACUGGAAGCUCGCUUUGGCGAGGGCUUCACAGAGCAGGGAGAUCUCAAGGUUAUCCCCGAGUAACUGAUGUUUACACUCCUGGCUGGGAAGAUGGCUCUCCUCACAGGUGUCUGCAUCAAUCUGUGAGGAGCCUGUCUGAGAUCCAGACUUCCUGAAUCAAGGUCCUCCUUCAGCCUCGGGCAAGCCUCCCUACAAUAAAGUGGGAAAGCCAGCCAGUGCAGCUUCAGCUCCUCUCUCCAGAAUCAGGAUGGAUUGUAGGCAAGGGUCGUACAGUGAUCUGCAGCCCUGUCUUGGUACCAUCCCAAUAAAAGGAUUCGUUUAUAUGUAAAGAUUUAUGGCAGGCUGAGGGUUUAUUUUGCAUCGAUUACUAUAGAAGCCUGAGAUCCUUUAUUGUCCUUUCAAAGAAAAUCCAUUGGUCUCUCUGCUCUGCACUAGAUACAGGGUAUAUCUGCACACGUUUAUUGGGCAAACUCUGAUGAUUUUCUUCCAAGCACCUCAGAUCUUGGUCCCAAUCAAGCUCAUCGGCGUCUCCAUCUAUCCUGCACCUGGUCUCUCUUCUUUGAUAAUGUUAAUGAUCGCAAUUAAUCUCCUUAUCAAUAAAUAACCACUCUGUUCAUUCAGGGCCAAGUACAGGGUAGCAGGGCCUCUCACCCAGGGCUCUGUGGUUUUGCUACCUAAUGGCUGUGACAAACAACACGGGCACAUCCAAAUCAAUGAUCAAAACACGUGAGUUUGUGGCUUUGCUCUAUUUUAAACACAGAGAUGGUGCCAUAGGCGUCUCUGGACCAUGGCCCCUUGCAGUUCAGUGUGUAAGUUAGUUUUUGUUUUUGUUUUUGUUUUUGUUUGUUUGCUUGGACUUUUUUGUUUUGUUUUGUUUUCCUCUGUAUUGACCCUACGGAGAGAUGAAGAUAACCUUCCAUAGUAGUCUAAUUUUGAGUUACAUGAUGUAUUAUAGAUAGAUAGAUAGAUAGAUAGAUAGAUAGAUAGGCAGAUAGGUAGGUAGAUAGAUAGAUAGAUAGAUAGAUAGAUAGACAGACAGAUAAAUAGAUAGGCAGAUAGGCAUAUAGAUAGGCAUAUAGAUAGAUAGAUAGAUAGAUAGAUAGAUAGAUAGGCAGAUAGGUAGGUAGGUAGGUAGGUAGAUAGAUAAAUAGAUAGAUAGGUAGAUAGAUAGAUAGACAGACAGAUAAAUAGAUAGAUACGCAGAUAGAUAGAUAGGCAGAUAGAUAGAUAGAUAGAUAGAUAGAUAGAUAGAUAGGCAGAUAGGUAGGUAGAUAGAUAGACAGAUAGUUAUGUAGAUAGAUAGAUGGAUAGAUAGAUAGGCAGAUAGAUAGAUAGAUAGAUAGAUAGAUAGAUAGAUAGAUAGGCAGAUAGGUAGGUAGAUAGAUAGACAGAUAGUUAUGUAGAUAGAUAGAUGGAUAGAUAGAUAGGCAGAUAGGUAGAUAGAUAGAUAGAUAGAUAGAUAGAUAGAUAGAUAGAUAGGCAGGCAGAUAGGUAGGUAGGUAGAUAGAUAGGCAGGCAGAUAGGCAGAUAGAUAGAUAGAUAGAUAGAUAGAUAGAUAGAUAGAUAGAUAGAUAGGCAGGCAGAUAGGCAGAUAGACAGACAGAUAGACAGAUAGACAGACAGACAGACAGAUAGAUAGGCAGAUAGGUAGGUAGGUAGGUAGAUAGAUAGAUAGAUAGAUAGAUAGAUAGAUAGAUAGUUAUGGUGAUAGAUAGACAGAUAGUUAUGUAGAUAGAUGAUAGAUAGAUAGAUAAAUAGAUAGAAAUUAGGUGGGGUAAAAACAGUAAGUGGCAAAGACACAUUUAAAAAAAACCCUAUCUCUCAUGAAAUACAUAUUGUGCUGGGAAAUCUUUCCUACAGAAUAAUUUCCUGACACACUGUGGACUUUGAGCCACAAACGUUCUUUUCUCUAAUGGCUGAAGUUGUUCAAUCAUCAGGGCGAUGUCUCUGUGGUGAUGGCUACCUGCUCAUCUCUGACCCACCAGGUACUUCAUUUGGAUGGCUAAGUACUCACUGCUUAAAUAAUUGCAUCUCCUAACAUAGAGUUUCUUCUUCUGGCAAGAAAAUGAUAUAGUCAUAAUCUUAAGGGUGAAGCUAUGUGCUGCCGUUUUUCAUUUGAAGAGGUCUUUUCAAACCAGCAAUGACCCAUGCAUUCAAUUUCUUGUUCCUUUCUCAGUCUCAAAGGGAUAUAACUGAGUGAAGAGUUUUGCUUUGUGACUUUCUAGAGCAAGGACAAUGAUAACAAUAUCGGAAAAAUUCAGUGUCACUGAGAGAAAAGGUACAAGGGAGAAACUGAGGCACAUAGGGAGAAAAGAUCGCCUUUGAAUCAGAGAUUAACAAGUGAUUGAACAUGGCGAGAGACCUUCAUUUUCCUGGCUACUGGACAGUAUCUUUUGACAGGCUGUGUCCAUCAUCUCUCGGAUUCACUCAAUCAGAUAGUCACCUCUGCAUAUCAUGAUUUAUUUAUUUCCUGUUCAUUCAAGAAAGGCAAAGAAGGGGCUGGAGAGAUGGCUCAGUGGUUAAGAGCAGUGACUGCUCUUCCAGAGGUCCUGAGUUCAAUUCCCAACAACCACAUGGUGCCUCACAACCAUCUGUCAUGGGAUCUGAUGCCCUCUUCUGGUGUGUCUGAACAAACAAACAAGAUACAAUAAUAACCAGACACAAAAUAUCGCAUCAGGGCUGAGCAAGGCAACCUUGUAGGAGGAAAAGGCUCCCAAGAACAGGCAAAGGAGUCAAAGAUCUCUCCACUCCCACCGUCCAGAGUCUGCCCAAAACACCAAGCCAAGAAUCAUAACAUUUAUGCAGAGGACUUAACACAGCCCCAUACCCCUGUGAUUGGGGCUUCCAUCCCCGUGAGCCCCAUGAGUCCUGCUUAGUUGAUUCCAUAGGCUGCAUAGCUAGUUAAGUAUCUAUAGUGUCAAUGCAACUCCAGUCUUCAGAUACAAGCCUCUUACAGUCGUGCCACCAUACCUGGUAUUUUUAACCAGUGAUGAACACCAUGCCAGAGAUUAGGAAACAUAUGAUAUAUUAUAUUUAGGUUGAGGUAUUUUAUUCUUGAGUAUUUUCUAUAGUGUCUUAGAACUGUGUGAUAUAUGGCCCUGUAGUGAUGGAUCAGUGGGUAAGAGUGCUUACUGUACAAGUGUGAGGAACUGAUAAGUCUCUAAGCACAUGCAUAGAAAACGGGCUGCACUUGUGUCUAUCCCUCCAGCUCUGUGUGAGUGAUGGAGACAGGGGUAUUGUGGAACUGGCUGGUCAACUACCCCACAAGUUCAGUGGGAGAUCCUUCCUCAAAGGGGUAAGAAGGGCAAGGAUGGGGGAGGACAGCAACCAUCCUUUAAUUGUUCCACCAGUGUGCAUGGGUAGAAUAGGCACACACACAUAGACACACACACAGACACACACACAGACACACACAGACACACACAUACACAGACACACACAGACACACACAGACACAUACACAGACACACACACACAGACACACACACAGACACAUACAGACACACACAGACACACACACACACACACACACACAUGUUGCAUGUAGUUUUUAAAAACACACUAGCACCUUUGCCUGAGACCUCCUGGCUCCCUUUUGUUUCAGCCAGCUCAGCUUUGGGAUCACUCACAACCAGCCCUAACCUGGUUUCCCUUUCUACCCACCUUUGCUUCUGGAGGGGUGACACUACUAGCCCACUCCUGAGACCCUUGAACCCGAGGAUUAAAGACACAGGGACAGCUCUGUUACUUUACAACUUGCCUACUAGGCACAAUUGCUGGGUGCAAUACUCCUGUCUGAAAAUGUGUGCCCUUACCAACUUAUAAUCUCUCUCUCCUUCUGCCCUAAACUUAGUGGCUUGUCCCAAUAAGCCCCUGCAAAACAUCUUUGUCCACCUGCCCACAGUGGAGGCUACAGGCCUAGCUCUCUCCAAGACCUUACAUGAUUGUAGUGCCCUCCUUCCUUCGAAGUAUGGCAAAAGCCCCUUCUCUCCUUCCCUGCAUCUCCUUUUUCUCCUGGGACCUGAAGUCCCACCUGUACCUUCCACACACAAUUGACUCCCAGCCGGCCUUCUUUAUCGAAAAAUCAAGAACCAAUUAAGGAACUAGAACUUAGUAUCAGACCCUCCCCUUACACACACACACACACGAUAUAUAUAUAUAUAUAUAUAUAUAUAUAUAUAUAUAUAUAUAUAUGUAUGUAUGGAGAGAGAGAGAGACAAAAACAGAGAGAGACAGAGAUAGACAGAGAUAGAGAGAGACAGAGACAGGGAGACAAAGACAGAAAGAGAGAGACAGAAAGAUAGAGAUGGACACAGACAGACAGAGAGAGAGAGACAGAGACACAGACCCACAGACAGACACACAAUGUGGUACCUACCAUUGAUAAUUGCACACCUUAAGUAAAGAGAAUGUCUAUGUACAAUAACAUUUAAACACAAGGAUCAGGGUCCUCAACAGGUUAGGCUUUCAAGUUGCAUGUGGUAAGGCGCUCCUUCAGCCUAACACUGCGUGUUCUCAGGGACUGUGGAGUUAACGCACAUGCUGGUGGAGGAAGACAUCAUCUGCUUUAUUUUCAGUUUGUUGAGUGAUUAAUACAUAUUAGGAGAGAGAAUAGUGUUCAACUGUCAAACAUGGCAGAUGUUUGACAGCCCCUUACCAUCUGCAGAGCCGAAUGUCAAGAGAUUCUGCCUGGGAAUCUUUGCAUGCUCUCCAGUUUGUGACAGAAUUUAAAAGAUGCUCACAGACAAGAGAAAGAAAAAGAAGGCCAAUGAAAGAAAACUUCAGAGAUGACGCAGCCCAGUUCAGAUAGACGCCUUGGGUCAGAGUAUCUCUUGUGCUUGAAGAUUGCCUCUAGAGUCUCCAGCCUUUCUAAGAACCCGGAGGACACCCUGGGCAUGCCCUGUGGCUUCUACCUGAGUCCAUCUGACUUAUCCCCAUUGCUGUUGACACCAUUUCAUCAUUUCAUCAUCCGGGCUUUUGCAAAUGAUCUCUAGCCAGGUUACCUUGUCUAAGAAGUAUCCGCUCUACUUGACCAUCCCAAGACCACAGCCAGUGACUUUUCUACAAUGCCAAUGUCUACCUUUCCUCCCAACAGCCAUUCCAAACCAUUCCAGAGGUUAUUCUUGUUCUUAAAACGAUGAUGUACUUUCAGUGGCGUAUUCAUCAUUUUUCCGGAUUUUAAAAAGUUUCCCUUUGACCGAUCCCUACCUGGCCAAGUCUUCACGUAGGUAUGUCCACUCUCAGUUUUUGAGUCUCAGCUCAUUGCUUACUUUGUCUGUGCAGCCUCCUCUAACUGCCUUCUCCUUGUACCAGCCUCUACAACCUUGUCCUUCCUUCCCUCUUCCUUCCUAAAUGUAUGUCUACAGUUAGCUUGAGUGUCUAUGACUCCUUUCUCUUCCUCUCACCAUUGAGUCUAAGCUGGGUUAUGGCAAGAACUGGGUCAGCUUCCUCUCCGUGACAGCCCUGAGUACAGCACAAUACCUAGUGUUUUAGAUGAAAACUGAGUGUUUGUUGAAUGAGUGACUGAAGUCAUGUGGGACUAUCUUGACUCCAGGAUGAAGAGAUUCCAGCUAUGGCUUACAGAAAACCCCUAGGAAAGUUCGAGGUUAAUUUAUUUUCCCCGAGGACUAGUGAAAGAACUAUAUUUAGUUUGUUGGCAUGGGAGGGGAUGGGGGAAAUUAACUAGCAAAGGCCUAAAUCUUCCCAAAGAAAGCAGACAGGGCAGACUCAAUGUGCAUCAUUGGACCUCAAAUGGGGUUACUGUAGCAAGCAAAACUCUAUUUCAACAAAUGCCUUCAGGUGACUAAAAUUUGCUUGAAUUUUAGACCUAAUAUCUGUAGCCAAAAUCUAAUUGCCCUUUACAAACCCCUAUAAGAGUGAAGAAAGGCAGAAGACACUCCCACUUAGCUGACAUUGGUUCUUCGGUGGUUUCUAAAGGCCCACUGACUAAAACCGUAGUGCCUGUGAUUAACAGAUCUAGACAGUUCAGCACAAAGACAAUUCAGUCCUGUGGCUUUGCUUUUGUUGUCGUUUAGUUCAGGCUCAGUAGCUUUCAAGCCAACCUCCUUAAGAAAUUCUGAGGUGAACAGGCUUGGCAGCAUCGAGGACAUUCGAACUGAUUUCCUCACUAGUGCUGCAGAUGCCUCAAAGUGGUGUGUUGUCCACGCUGGCCUUUUUUGUACUGCGAUGCUGCUAGUGUCCCCAUCAGUCCUCUGUGUAGUCUGCCCUCAUCUCUGGGGUCACUGCUCUGAACUUACCCUUGUACACUGGGGUGGGAAACAAGAAAGGUAUUACCAUCAGAAAAUAGGAAGCUGAGGAAUACCUGUUUGUGUCCCUGGACUGAUUUGAAGUUCUAGUGUCCUUUUCUAAAGACUGUUUCUUUUAGACUCUGUGCACAUUACCUGAAAGGCAUAAAAUUAGACCUUGGUAGUACUUGUAACCUUUGCUCUAAAAUAUGAAAUCUGUGAGAGCCUGGGGUUGGGUAGCAGAGAGGUAGAGAAUCAUGACAGAUUCCUCAUCAUCAUAGUUCUUAUGCCAGGAAAGAGAUAAAGCUUCAAGUGUGCCUUUUGUAGGAGUAGAGGGGUCAGGAAGUUCAAAGUUUGGAAUCCCAUUGAGUUAGAAUUAAAAUGUUUUCCCAAGAGAGCAUUUUGAGGCUCUUUAAAGGAAUGGCUGGUGCUCACCAAUGGGUGGUACAAAUUAAAUAAGGUCUGUGGAGUGAGGACCAAAAUAAGCUAUAAAGCAACAGGAAGUCAAAGUCUCAAGCACAGGAUCUUUGUAGGUGUUUUUUGUUUUUAAGGGGACAGCAUUAUUAAAGAAGAACAGACUUCUGAGAAUACUUUUAUUCAGGGGUAAAAGGAAGGAGAGGCAGGAAAUGCAAGGAGUAGGCAAAGAGUAGGAGGCAGCCCCAAGCCAAAGAAAGCUGGGUUUUCAGUAGGAGGGGUUGCGUCCUCAGAUUCUGGAGGAGCUGAAGAAAUAGAGGUGGGACUGGAGACAGGUGGUUCAUAGCGAAAUAAUCCACUGACUGUUCUUACACAUUCUUCUGAAUGUCCUUAACGCUUCUGGAUGGAGAGUGACGUAGUUCCCCAGCUUGCUCUUUGUGAAGCAAUCUCUCUCCCUCCUUUGUUAACCUUGCCCUCAUGAGCACCUCCUAAACCGUUGAUAGCAUUUCUACUUCCUUUAGUCUCUAGGGAAUGUGUCCUGAGAUUUAUUCUACUCUCUUAAGUUCCAUUACUAUAAGGCUUUUCCUGUAGUCACUCAGUCUCCUUAACUUUGUUUUUCCCAUUUUUCCUAAAAAUUCUCCCCUCUUUUCUCUGCUUACUUGACUGUGACUCCUUCCAGCUUCCUGAGAAGCUUGUGAGUCACACACAAUACUAAGAAGCAAUAUAGAUCAUGGCAUGCUUAGCCAGAAAACCUUCCAGAGUUUUAUUUGUGCUUUUCCUUAUUAUUAUUAUUAUUAUUAUUAUUAUUAUUAUUAUUAUUAUUAUUAUUUGUGUGCAUUGUGUGCAGAUGGUAGUAAUGGGCACACAUUUGCCAUAAUUCAACUGUGGCGGUCAGGACAAGUUGGUAGCGUCAGUUCUAUCCUUCAUACUUUCCUUGGAUCGUGUGGAAUAAGCUCAGGUGUGCAGGUUGCACUGUAAGUGCACUGUCCUCUCCGCUAUCUUGCAGAAUACUGUCUUGUUCUUCUCGGUGUUUAGGGGCUCUUGCUAUGUAUGGUCCGAUACUCACUAUGCAGUCCAAACUUGGCCUCAAACUUGCAAUAAUUCUCCCACAUUAGCCUCCCAAGUGUGGGAUUGCAAGCAUAUACCAUUAUGCCUAAGCUAAGCCUUUUAGGAAAAAAAUAUUCUUAAAGACAGAAGUAUGAACCAUUGGACACAACAUAGCCUGACCUCUCAAAGAGUAUUUUUGAAUGAAUAGUGUUGGCUGCAUUGAUCCGUGUGUCCUUUAAUAUCUGCCUGGUUUGAUGUGGGUUUGCAAUGUUCUGCUUUCUGACACCUAGAACCAUGUUAGUCCAGAAGGCACUUGCUAGUAAAAUAGUCACGAAGCCAGCAUCGGUCCUUAGGAGGUCCUUAGGAGUGCCAUCAGUGGGACAUGUGAGUUGACAGUUUUCAUAUCCUCCUCCUCACCCAGUCCUUCCAAGUUGGAAAUCUGGGAAUGAGACUGGACGGUGAUCUGUGCUGAGUCAGACUUCCACUUGAGUUCAGUGCACACAGAUGUUCAGGAACCACUGUUUUCCAGCAUUCUGCUCUGAUUUCUGGAUCUCAGAGGGAAGUCUGGGCACUAGCGAGAGAAGCUAUUUCUGCCUGACAUAGUAAUACAAUCAGGUGAUAGUGGAAGUUUGGGAAUCUCCUGCUAAAUGUCAGUUCUAGUAAAAUCAUUCUCUGCAGUGAGAGGUAGUCUCUAAAAGAUGGUGCUGUGACCUACGCCAUCCUGGGACCACCAUCUUCCCUCUCCUCCACAGCCUCCAAACCUAUUCCUGGGGCCUGGAGUGAAACGGAUGUUUUUAGUAAAGGGUAGAAGAGAGCAUUGAAGAUGACUUGGUCUUAUUCAAAGAAACAGAUGCUACCUCGAUGACAUAAUGUUUUCCUUAAAAUUUACUGCUUUGAAAAUAUUUUUUUUUCAAAAUAAUCUCUUACCAAUGCAAGGGACUGUGAAGCUUGCUCAAGCAAAUGCUGUUUACCAUUUGUGCUUCUGAAAAUUCGGCAAGGGGAGUUUGCAAGGAAACACACAGGAUCUUACUCUGCCUGGGGAAUGCUCUCUCUCGAAGCAGAUUGUGUUACCAGAGCCCAUCGAGCAGGAAAAGGAAGGCUUGUUGUGGUUAUGGCUUGGUAUUCUGUGCAAGCAACGGGGAGAGCUUGCUCAAGCCCUGAGUGUAACACACGCUUUAGAAGACACACUAUUUUUGAGGUUAGAAGAUGCAAACAGACCUCUUCCAUAAUUGAGGGAAGGAGGCUUUAUAGGCUUAUCCACAGUCAGACCACUGGGCAGAGACCAUGACAUCCUCCUUUGCACCACCUGUCUAAAGUGGGUCACAGACUUCCUGGACAUUGGCCUCUCUGAGUCCAGGGAUUAUCGCAGGAGCAGGGCAGAGGCAGGCAGGCAGCCAGAGCUUUCUCCGGCUUUGCCGAGUCCUCCUGUCUCUACGGAGAGGCUUCCCAUUCCAGAACAGGAAUUUUUACUCUACUUCCUUUAACCAUAAUUAAAAUUUUGCACCUCAUUUAGCAUUGAAAUAAAUCAAGUUAGGUGGUUUAUUUAUUUAUUUUAAAUGUGGAUCCAAGACGGAAAGAGAUCUGAGACGGUUCGGAAUGCUUUUCCACCUUACAUCCACCAAUGCCGUACCUUUCGAUUUGUGCUCGAAGUAGACAAGGAAUGAAUUGACACUUGUUGUGGGGCAGAGCAUUGGAGCGGCUGGAACAGUCUGUCUGUUGGGGGAAAGUGAACGCUGUUUUCUGAUUCCAUCUUCGGUGCCUUUGGAGUCUCUGCCUUUGGAGUCUCUUAGUGCCGUGGCUAAGGGAUGUCCCUUGGGAAGGUGCUUGUAGUCAUGAAAUAGAAGAAGUCCUGCCUGCCUUUCUCCCCAGGUGACGGAAGGAGCCGCCAUCUUGAUCAUGUUAGGUAUAAGUAGCGUAUAGUUCUCGAGCUGUGGUUUCCAACCUUCCUUACACUUUGAUCCUUUAAUAUAGUUCCUCAUGUGCUACCUUAUUUUUAGGGACACCUCAUAACAUAAUUCUGCUAUUGUUAGGAACUGUGAUGUAAAUGUCUGUGUGUUCCCGUGGUCCUAGCUGACCGCUGUGAAAGGGGUGGUCAACUCCCAGGUUGAGAACCACUGUUUGACAGGAAGCCUUGAGUCUGGUUCUUUUAUCAUAUUUUGGUUAACUAAAUUCUGUGUAGUAGUUGAUUACUCAUUACAGAACCCAAACCCAAAUUCUCCGUUGCUAUGAGCUCCUCCUGUCAUCAAGGGGGAAUAAACAAGGACUCAAAAGACAGAGGAAACAAAAUGCCACAUAAGAGUGAAUCACAGAGUUCUUCUCUUCGGGUCUAUCAAUCAAAAAUCUUACAUGUGCGUAUCACACUCCCGAGCUUGGUUAUUUUGCCUUAGUCCAAGAGACUCUCACUUAUGGUCUGUGUUAGUUACUUUUCUGUCACCGUGAUAAAACAUCGUGGCCAAAAAGCACCUUAAGGAAGAGAGUUCAUCUUAACUUAAGGUUCCAGAGGGAUAGUCAGUAAUGGUGACAGAGGCUUGGCAGAAAGCAGCAGGAGCAGUAAGCUUAGCUGCUCACUUUUUCCAUCCUCGCAGCGCAGGAAGCAGAGAAGAGUAAGAACCCUGAGCCCAGUGAUGCACUUCCGCUUCCGGUAGGAAGGCUCCACCUCCUAAGGGCUCAGUAACCUCCCACAAACAGCACCACCAACCAGAGACCAAGUAUUCAAAUACAGGAGCCUGUGUCCUCUAGUGGGGAUGGUUUCUCUCACAAAACACAGCUCCAGGUCUGGUCAUUUCAACAUACGAACACUGUUUUUUCUCUCCUCUGAAUAAAGGUUCAUUCAGCUCUCGCUUUCUGGGUUCCAUACUUACCCUGACCCCUCUGUGGUCUUGGGAACCACAUUCACAUGUUCAAAUGGUCUGUGUAAAUUGACAAUAGCAAGAUCUGUUGACCAAAGUUGAAGUCGCUGUCUUGUUCCCUGCAUCCGUGUCCCUAUAGAAAGUAGGUAGUCAGUGGCCUUUUUUAGUUUCUAGCUAAAAAGAGUCCGUUUGGGAGUAAUAUCAGCAUGGGGUUGUUAGGAUUUACCAUUUAUGCUCACAGCAACUUCCUGUAACUAAAUGCCAGCCCUCCCCGAUUGAAAUGGACAGAAAUAGUCCAAUUGCCCAUGUGCUCACUUGGUGGGGGGCAUGACACAAAGUCCGGGCCUGAGGGACUGUAUUGUGUGUCACAACCAUGGUUAGGAGGAAAAUACAGACAUUAAUCUCUAAAGAAAUUCUUCUGAGUUUUAGCCUCCCUGUAAUAAAAUUCAAUUUUCUUUUAAAAUCAAAUUUGUUACUCACCAUAAAUAUUUUCCUUGCAGAAACAAUAAUGACUGAAUUUCACCUUACUUCACUUUUCACAAAAAGAAAUGAGUUAAUCAAAUUAAAGGAAUACUGAAUCAUCUAGCUCUUCUAUAAAAAAAUUACAUUGGUAUUGCAUAAAGAAAGAGUGAAAGGGGGAAAAAAUCAAGCCAAGUUAUUAAACAACACCUGAAUUUUGUGAUGUGUGUGGAACCUUUUUAAAGGCAUGUUAUGGUUCCUACAUUGCCUGGAAAACAAUUCAUUUACACAGCAGACCAAGGACCUUUGUAGAAAUCCAUGCACAACAUUGUGGUCUGGACUGAGUGAGGUGGCUUGAUGCCCAUCGACGUCUCUGCUGGAGCACGCUUGGUGAUGGGAAUGGCGUUCUUCCUGGGAACAAUAUGGGUAGUCCCAGCUAUUACUGAAAUGAGACAGCCAUCUCAGCAAGGGCCUUGGUCUUUGAAAUCAGUUGGUUCAUUUCAUUCAGGGAGAUUGCAUUCGUUUUUAUUUUUUUAUACUAUAUAAUUCAUCAUUUUGAGUUUGAUGGCUUAAAGCAUCAGAUGGUGUCGUUGGGUACAGCUUAGCCAGGUACUCUGCUCAGGGUCUUACCGGGCUCGGGGCACAGUGCCUGACAUGUUUUAGUCCCCAAGAUUCCUUUUGAAGUUCAUUCAGCCUGCUGGAAGCAAUUUGAUCCUUGUGGUUGUCAAGCCAGGCAGUAGUAUUUUUUUUUUCCUAGCUCUUAGCUGUGACUACUCUGGGCUCCUACAGGCUGCUCUGAGGUAUGGCCAUGUGGCGUUCUCCAUAGGUAGUUCACAGCAUGGCAGCUUGAUCAUCUCCAGAUCAGCAGGAAAACCUCUCUCCAGGCUGCUAAGAAGGAGUCUUACAUAGCAUAACCCAAUCCAGGCUGCCAUCUCAUCCAAUUCAGAUUCCCACUCCCACUCAAAAAAGCAGCAGGUUGCCUAGGCCGUGCAUGCCAAGGUAUAGAGAGAUACUGGGGAAUUCUUAGAGUACUGACCUGCCAUGAGAGGGAAGGGUGAUACAGUUUGAGCACCAACCAUAUGCCCACUGUAUUUGUUAUUUAUAUCUUAAACUUGGGUUUCUGGGCAGUUGGGAUUGCCCCAUGUAUUUUUUCAAGAUCAAGAAAGCACAUUUUAUAAAAUGUCAGUCAAACCUCACGGUGUGGGUCUGUCAUCCCCACUGCUCAGCUGACUGGGGUGAGAGGAUCAGAAAUUUCCAUUGAAUCAGCCUGGACAAUUUAGUGAAAGCAUGUUUUAAAAUAAAAUUAGACAGACAGGCAGGCAGAUAGACAGACAAGGUGGGUAUAAUUUUUAGUGGAACAAUGCUUGCCAAGCUUGCCCAAAGACUCCAGUUUGAUCUCCAGUAAUGCAGAGACAAUAGCUGGAGACACACCGUAUAGAUUUAAAUAUGAGGUUGGCCUGGCUUUACCGAGAUGUUUGAAGCAUAGCAUGUGGCCUAGGGAACUGAAGGCUGGUCCAUACAGAACGGCACCAAAUGGCAUGUGAUGUGCCUUACCCACUGCCUUGUAAAUAUAAUAUCUGCACACCAAGUGUCUAGGUGCAGUUCAUGUACAGCAGUUUAAAGUUUACCCUUCGCACCCUCCAAAGCGAGGCAUCCAGAUCUAGAUGUGCAGUCGAGUUCAUCAACUAUUUGUAGAGCCGUUCGCUUGAAAUUCGAUGACGGAAACACAAGUAAUCAAGCAGCGUUCGAAACAAUUGGUUAUUUUUUAAACUAAGGAUUCUCAUGGUGCAUUAAACAAAACACUGAUGGUGUAGAGACCAGCGUGCCUGUGCCUUCCUUCUGCUCUUUACGCUGACCUUCUGACCUUCUGCAACCCUUCUUUCAGAAGGCCACAUGGCGAUUCAGGAAGUGGUCUUGACACAUCAUGCUAUGAACAGUAAUGACUAGAAGUCACAGUUUAUAGGUUUGCACAGGGCUAAUGAAAACUGAAAAGUUUCCCAGGCAGAUGUUUUGCCUCUGAUGUGUGUCUCUGUCAUAAGAACCUUGACUCUGUCCUUAGCACUUCUCCUCAUGUUCUGAUUAUAAUUGGCAUUUUAGAGGCCCAUGUAUAAGACUGAUGAAAGGAGCCCCAGAAUGAAACCCAAAACUUUAAAACUUUACUGAUAAGGGAGCUUCUCUCACUGUUCUCAUUGCUGUGGACACUGUGCUUUGCCGUUUGUCCGUGUGUUUCCUCACUGGAGAACCCGGCCUCUCCUCUCCUAGUCACGCCUUUAUCAAAGGGGUCUUCCUUUUCUCAAAUUAGCAUAGAGUAGAGAAGUUGGUUUCUGGUUAGCAUUGUAAGCCCCCUUUACUAUUUUGAGUCCUCAUCACAGUAAAUAUCUAAAUCAUAAGGAAGAAUUAUUAAAAUAUAGUUUAGAUUUUAUAACACUACAUACUUGAUAUUUGCACUCUUUUGGGUCACCAACCAGGCAGGCCUCAGUUUGCUUAGCUAGGCCUGGCCUUGCCUUGUAAGGACUUAAGAGUGAACUCUUAGAACCUCUUAUAGUGCAGGUUUCUCUAUGUAGAUCAGGUUGGCCUCCAGCUAGUGAUUCUCCUGCCUCAUACUCCUGAGUACUGAGAUUACAGGUGUUCACUGUGAGCUCUGCUUCAUAAGUUUAUAUAAAGAUGACAUGACACAUAUCAUGUAGUCUUACGUCUUAUACUUCCUCUUAAUCCUAUGUUCUGUUUACCAACCUUAUUUUGCCUUACACCACGAUUCAGAGAUAGUUCCUUGUUUUCUUUGUAACUAGGUUUAUAAAUAUCUCCAUUGUCCUUUCCACAACUUUCCUUGCACAUCACAUUCUCUUCUCCAUUGGGUGAGACCAUCUCACCUCUCACCCACCAGGAAGACCUCAGUUCGCUUACCAGGCUUUGCUUUGCCUUUUGUGAACAUGGCUAAAGACCUAAGAGUGAGCUCUUAGAAUCUCUUACUCUGUCAGGUCCAGCUUGACUGUUCUUCUGCCUCCAAUAGAACCAAGGUUCCAUCCGCAUAAGGCUUGCUUGGUUCAUUCUGUGCUAUUCGAUCCUGUUACUCCCAUUAAUGUCUCAGCCAGAAAGCAAACACAUUUAUUCUGUAACUGUCAGCACAUGGGACAGCGCCUAGACCAUAACUUAUGGCUGGGAAUAUUGAAAGCUAGCUGCUGAAAUACGUUCUUCAAGGACCGAGAAUUAAAAGGGAACCUAGACAGGCAUAGCCAGUGUGUGAUACUGCCCAGGUAGUCACUGGUGGAAGACCUGGCUCAGACAGUAGCAGUGGAAACAGGAAAGAGAUAACAGACAGACACUUCAGGGACAACUCUGAGCAACCCGAGUGUGAGAGGACGUGUGUACAUAGCCGAAAGAUAGAAGGGUAAGUUAGGGUCAGUGGUGAGGCUCUCUCAGUGCUUUCUGUUUAAUGGCUGAAGGGAGGUGAUUGCUUCUAUCGGAGAAGCAUCAGACAAGAAAGGCUGCUAGAAAAUCUAAAUAUUGUAUAUGCUUUAACUAUAACAUAUCAAAACACACAUGGGGAUAACUUGUAUCCUUUGCUAAGUUGGGAAUUUUUAAAUUAUUUAAAAAUAUUUGUGUGUGUGUGUGUCUGUCUGUCUGUCUGUAUGUCUGUCUAUAUGUCUAUUCGUGUGAAGGUCAAAGGACAGCUUUCAGGAGUCAAUUCUCUCUUUUUUACCAUGUUGGCUUUAAAGCUCAAACUCACAGUGCCAGGUGCUUAAAGCUGCUGAACCAUUUCACUGACCCUCACAUAAUCUUCAACAUUGGGUAGGACUGUGAACUAACAUAUGAAAAGUGGCAAAGACGCUAAGUGAGGCUCAUUCGGGUGGAAGAGGUGAGACUAGUUCCCUUAGCACUGGCUGAAGGCAUGAUGUUUUAUUAACAAAGGCAAGGGGGGAUGCAAAUGCUAAAAAAAGUGCUUUCUGCAAAAAUCUGAAAAGCUUUUUUGCAGAAGGGGAACUAGAAUAAUUUCUAGCGAACCAAAUAAUGGAGCUUUGUGGCCUGGAAGAUGUACCUCUUCUUGAUGAGGAAUAAUUUUAGGGUCAAAACUGGCCAGCAGUGAAGGACAGGAUCAUGAGGUUAGGGCUGGUCACUGCUGAAACUUUGCAAGAAUGCUUGCCUUCAACUCUGGAUUCUGAGGCUUUUUAGUUCAUUCCUUUGUUCUCCUGAGCCUUGUGCCUCAGUCUCCAGGUUCUGGGGGUCACAAGUGUACCCAGACACCUAGCUAGUGUUCUGGGAUUGUUUUGAAUUUAGAGUGUUUGUUUGGAGGGUGGCUUGUCAUAUUUUCCUGUCAUUUUCGAUUAAAGGAGGUAGAAAGAUCAGCCUGAAUUACCCAAGAUGCAAUGCACAGACCACAGGAAACUCAAGAAGAGGGAAGACCAAAGUGCGGAUGCUUCAGUCCUUCUUAAAAGUGGGAACAAAAAUAUUCAUAGGAGGGCAUAUGGAAGCAAAGUUUGGAGCAGAGACUGAAGGAAUGGCCAUUCAGAGCCUGCUCCACAUGUGGCCCAUAUAUAUACAGCCACCAAAACUAGAUAAGACUGAUGAAUCUAAGAAGUGCAUGCUGAAAGGGACUGGAUACAGAUCUUUCCUGAGAGACAUAGCCAGAGCAUGUCAAAUACAGAGGCGAAUGCUAGCAGCAAACCAUUGAACUGAGAACAGGGCUGCCUGUAAUUGGAGGAAUUAGAGAAAGGAUUGAAAGAGCUAAAGGGGCUUGCAACCCUAUAAGAACAACAAUGCCAACCAACCAGAGCUCCCAGGGACUAAACCACUACCCAAAGACUACAUGGACUGAACCAUGGCUCCAGCUGCAUAUGUAGCCAGAGGAUGGCCUUGUUGGGCACCAAUGGAAGGAGAAGCCCUUGGUCCUGCCAAGGUUGGACCCCCAGUGUAGGGGAAUGUUGGGGGGAUAGGAAGGGGGAGUGGGUAGGGAGGGAACACCCUUAUAGAAGAAGGGGAGGGGCAUGGGAUAGGGAGCUUAUGUCUAGGAAACCAGGAAAGGGAAUAACAUUUGAAAUAUAAGUAAAAAUUAUCCAUUAAAAGAAAACAAAAAGGCCAUCCAGAGGCUGCCACACCUGGGGAUCCAUCCCACAUAUAGUCACCAAACCUAGACACUAUUGAGGAUGCCAAGAAGUGCAUGCAGACAGGAACCUGAUAUAGCUGUCCCCUGAGAGGCUCUGGCAGAGCCUGACAAAUACAGAAGCAGAUGUUUGCCGUCAGUCAUUGGCCCAAGCACGUUGUUGUCCCCAAUGGAAGAGUUAGAGAAAAGACUGAAGGAGCUGAAAGGAAUUGCAACCCCAUUGGAAGAACACCAAUAUCAACCAAUCAGACACCCCAAGAGCUCCCAGAGACUAAACCAUCAACCAAAUAGUACACAUAGAGUGACCCAUGGCUUCAGUCCCAUAUGGAGCAGAGGAUGGCCUUAUUGGACAUCAAUGGGAGGAGAGGCCCUUGGUCCUGUGAAGGCUCAAUGCCCCAGUGUCAGGGAAUGCCAGGGUGGGUAGGCUGGAGUGGGUGGAUUGGUUGGGGUUGAACACUCUCACAGAAGCAUGGGAAGGGGGGAUGGGUUAGGGUGUUUCUGAAGGGGAAACCUGAAAAGGGGAUAACAUUUGAAAUGUAAAUAAAUAAAAUAUCCAAUAAAAAUACAUUCAAUAAAAAGAAAAAAAAGAAGAAAAAUGACCUUUUUUUCACUGUGGGUUGUAGCCAUGUUAGAAACAGAAGUAGCCGAAUUAAGAUACCUAUGCUUUUAAAAUCACCCCUCAGUAUUUUUUGUUUUGUUUUCUUUGUAGUUUGACUCUACUACUAGGAAUCCCCACUAUUUUGGCAUUCCCCUUUAGUGGUGAUCUAAUUAGCUCCACUCCACUUUGGCUUCCAAGAAAAAUCAACCUGAUAUGAAACUUUAAAUUGAAAGGUUUCACCUACCAUGGCUUUCAGGUGCCCCUGAAGUUUCUCUGCUCAGACUCAGUUCUGCAAGCAGAUUGAGCUUAUAUCCAAGGUUCGCUGUGGGUGGUACAGACAGCCCUCACCGUUGUCAAGAACAGUUUCUCAGUUCCCAUGCCCUUUGUGUAGGAAUUCUCAAGAGAGCUCAGGUCUUCAUCUGCUACUUCACUCUUUGGCUUGCAGGAUCUCUUUGGAAUAAUACCUGGAUCUUCGGAAAGCGGUUUAUCUGCAUUGUAACUUGGGGAUGAUAUGAAGUCCCUGGGUGUCUUUUUGGGAAAGUAGCAAGUGUUACCAGUCAGUAGCUGAUAUUAGAUAUAACCCAAGUAUUUGAAACUUCAGGUGUUUAGAUACUAGGCAAGAAAUACAUGCUAAGUGAUGCAGACCAGGAUUCUUGACUCAACACUAAUGAAAUCCCAUUCUUUCUUGAUUGUGUUCUCUAAAACCCUUUAGCUUUGCCCCUUGAUAAUGAUUUCUGUAUAAAAAUCAUAAUUUAUGAAAAGUAUUUUUUAUUCUUUCUCCUUUUCCUAUCAAGAUAGAGAAGUAUUAUCUUAUACAAAAUAAGACUCGAUAAAUGAUUUAAAGAUCCUCUAACCAUUUUGUGUAUAAUUUUGAGAAAUAGAAGCAAAUGCAGUAUGGGUAAUGAAGUUUAAAUGUACCAAUGUCAGAUGUCGAAACAAGGAAACACAUGAGAGGAAAAAAUUGUACACGAUACGUGUUAUCUUUCCAAGUCCCAGAAAGAAUAUGAAGCAACUUUAAGAGUCAGUUAUUUCAGACCCUUAACCUUAGUUAUGGAUGUCUAGGCUAGGGAUAGGGGUUAUAGGUUGAUGGAGGAGGACUUGUACUGCUCUGAGUUUGAAUCCUAAUAUUCUGAAACAAAGAACAAAACUAUAAUUUUUAAAACUAAGGUUGUUCCUUAGCUAUUUCAUAUGAUUCAAACAGCCCUUGAGUCUGUGCAUGGCAAUCACAUGCUCGACCUGUGUUAAAUGCCAUUUCUACCUAGAACUACCUGAAUCUCUCUAUUGUAUUGCUUACCCUUCCAACCUCUCUGGACCACUUACAUAUCCAUCAAUUUGUACAUUGGUACAUGUCGGUUGUCCCAACCUGAUCUGAUUUCUUUCUGGAUGGAAAGCACACUUUCACUGUCUACCCUCCAAAAUUUAUCAGGAUGCCUAUGAAAAGGGGCUUAUUUCUAGAUUAACAGUGAGGUAAAACAAAUAUCUAAGUUCACUGGUAGAAAUGGGCAAUAGCUUGUCUCAGACUCACCUUUGCGAAUAAGACUUUGAACCCUGGCCUGCAACAGUACUCAGUGGCAGAUCAUUUUAAAUCAUGAAGCUCUUUAACACCAUCUUCCAUCAGUCUUGUAAGAGAGCCAAGAGAAUAGACGGUAAUUAAAUGGGAGAAGAGAGAGCUGUCCUGUGCUAUGCACGAUCCCCAGGCUGAAGAUCGUACUGAAAAGAGAUUAUUGCCAGCCACACUCACCGCUCUUCAUUUUUUUACCCAUGAACUUUAAGUUUUGUUUCUUCCUUUCUUUCCUCUUUUCUUUGAGCCCUCAUUUGAUUAUAAUGUCUGUUUCUAGAACACAUCUUAUAGACAGUUUUUGGGAGAGUCCCUGCCUUCUAGGAACUCCUAGCCUAGUGGAUGAAAUAGGAAAUGACUAAGAUGCAAAUCAAAUUCAUACAAAGUAAGAAACUGUCUUUCCCAUGAAAAAUCCAAAUCACACCUUAGUCAUCCAGAAGGCAGAAUCUGGUUAGCCACAAGAAAGCUGCACCUGGGAGAGAUCCCAAGGGCCCUGGGGAAGGAAGUCUUUUUUCUAUCUGACUACUUUGGAGAACAAGAACACGUUUUUGGUUCUGGCUGCAAAGGGGAAGCUUACGUGUAAGAUAUUCUCUGUGUCUGGUUAUGAGGGUGAAUUGAGCCUGUACCUUGAUUUAAGAAAUAAACAGAGUUGCUUUUAAGAUAUUAGUAAGCUUGAGAAGAUCCCCUGCUCCUAGAUCUCAUCUCUGCAGGCAGCUGCAGUAGGUAGGCUCUCUCUGUGCAAGAUGGGAAGAUGUGGAAGGAUUCUGCGCCCUACCGCCCAGUUUCAGUCAUAUCUGUGCUCUGUCAGGCCUCAAGGGUGCACCUCAGAGACACUCAGCAUAUUCUCUUUAACAUUUCUCCUUCUAUUUCUCUAUUUGAAGCCAUACCACGCACUCCAAAUGAAAGAAAGACAAGUAUACUACUGUUCAGAUAUAUUUCCUAUUUAUAGAACAUCCUGUUCUACAAAUUGUCUUAUUUUUGUCUCUCUAGAUAGAAAUGGAAAGUCCCAAGCCAAUUGAAAUUUUGAUAUGUAUUGAUAAUAUAGACUAUGUUAAGCCCCAUUAGAUGUAUCCUGUAAAAUCAGUACGAUUCCUUUUACCUCCCCUCUUUUUUUCCCAAUGGGAAUGCUAUUGAAGAGUUCCAAGUUGUCACCUCAUAAUAGAAACUGCUUCUACUUCCUCGGUGAUACCAUAAUUUUACAUAUUUUCUCACUUAUUCUUAAAAUUAUCACAUCAGUAGUUUUAUCCUUACUUUGGGGAACGAUAAAUUAGCAGUUACUCUAGGGUUCUACCAUCCCUUAGUCCAAGAAUCACAACUGAAGCUCGGGUUUGUGAUUAUAAUACCUCUUCUGUUCUUGAGACAUUCGGUUCUUUUCAAUCUUCCUACGUCUUGCAUAAGCGUCUGUCUUCCAAACACGUCUAAGGAUAAAAGUAAACGUGUUUCUCUUUCUCUUGUUCUUACUAUAAUUACUGGGGUGUUCCCAUUUUUUUUUCUGCAGCAUGCUUUUUGUCUCUCAGAAUUCUCACGUCACUUAGGAAGCUAAUAGAGAUUAUUGCUAUACACACAAGAUUGUCAUAGGAUAAAAUGGGGCACUCGCUGAGCAAAAUAAAAAGGUCACAGAUUUCCAGGUUUUUGUGGUUAACAUAUUCUCAAAAUUAUCACAAGGUUAUCAUGUUGUGUUUUACUUGCCUCAUUUAUUUACUUUUUAGCCUUCUUUGACUAUUUUUAGCUAAGUAAAGAAAGGGGUAACAAUGGUUGUCUCUUAGAAGACAUUGUGUGCAGAAUGUGUACCCUAGGUGUCUGUUGAGCUAAAUGUGGAAACUGAUGGGGGUUAUGAAUGAGGGUCACAUUCCAGAGACCUCAAUGACCCCACUGCAAUCACAAACACUUAGAGCUGCAAUUAGGGCCGUGGGCUCAGAACUGGGCAAAAGGAUUUGGGUCUUUGAGAAAAUUCAUAUGAAAGCAAGCCCAAGCCUGACUCCCUCACACAUCCAUUGCUUGUUUUGUUCCAUUAACUUACUUUUGCUAGUCAUGGCCCAUGACAUUUAAUAAUGUGCGAGAUAAAGGCCUUGCAAUGCAGGACUUCCUAACUCUGAUGUUUGGAACCUGUGUGCUUCCUUCUCUUCGGUUGAGAAGCUCUUUCUUAGUCCUAUUUCUGGAAGGUUCUACCCCACUUAUCCCUGAGUGGACAGUUCUCAUGUUCCUUUCUGAUGAAACCUGGCAAGGUCCCUUCAACUGAGAAGAGUAGCCUUCUAAAUGUCCCUGCAUGAGCCUACCUCCUGUUAGCAUGCAUCUCAUUCAGUAGUCACUGAAACAACCAGGCUCAUCCACAAGACAACAGGAUGUUAAAUAGUUUGGCAUAUGUUAAGAGUCCAGUGAUGUGCUCACACCUUCCAGACUUACAUCCACUUCUAGGUGGACGGGAAAGUAAAGGAAAAUAAAUAUACCGGCAUACAUCUAUAAAUUGUUUGCAACAAUUGUCUAUAUACAUAAAUAAACAAAAAUUCAAACAUGUGAAUAUAUAGCCUAUACAUAUACAUGCACUAUCUACACACAAUUUUAAAUUUUCAUAAAUGCUUUAAUAUUUUGAGAUUAUAAUUACAUAAUUUUCCUCUUCCAUUUUCUCCCUCAAAAACCUCCCAUGUAUCCCCAUUCCACGUGAUCAUGCUCUCUUUCUAUGUCAUGGUCUCUUUUUCUUUGACUGUAUGUAUGCAUAUAUGUAUAUGUAUAUGUAUAUGUAUAUGUAUAUGUAUAUGUAUAUGUAUAUGUAUAUAUAUGUGUGUGUGCAUGUGUGUGUGCAUGCAUGCGUGGGUGUGGGGGUGUGGGUUUGCUUGUAUACGUUUUCAGGGAUGACCAUUAGCCAUUGAAUAACCCAUUGGCAUGUUUUUCCCUGAGAAAGACCAUUUAUCUUGCUCUCAGUUCUCCUUAGUUGUCUGAGGUUCUUUGUCUAAGUUUGGUGUUUUUUUUUUUUUCUCUCUGUUUCCAUGUUAGCAUGUUUAUUGAUGCCGUCCUGGUUCAGCUCAUGUUUAAGCAGCCAUGUUGAUAAUAUUUCACGGGUGUUGCUCCUGAAGUUUGGAGGAGACAGAAUCUCACAGCAGACCCCCAGAUCCUCUGGCUUGUGCGAGCAUUCUGCGCUCUUCAGAAGCGGUUCCUGACACGUGUGUGCAGGAGUUGGUGCGCAGAUGCAUCAGCUGGGGUGAGCGCCACGACUCUGCACUGUGAUUGGUGUGGCCUUCUGUAAUGGUUCAUGCGAGUUGCAAAGAUAAUUUUUCCUUGGUGAGGAGUGAGGAGUAUGCUUCUCUGUGAGAAUAAGGAAAAAUACUUGGAGUAUACUCAUGAAUGAUGACGCCUUAGUACAGUGGUGGUUGUAGAUCAUGAGUUCACUGGCCCUGGGGGAUUGGCUAGGUUUCCCUUUAUGGAAGAGGCCUUCAGACCAAUUGGAGACCCACUGGUAGCUGGGUGGCACUACUGAACCUCUACGGUCAUUGUGCCAUGGCGUUUUUGCUUUAACCACAAUUUUUAAAUGCCAAGGAAAGGAGACCGGUCAGGGCCAGAAGAAAUAUUGUCUGUUAUCAAACUUCAAUAUAUAUGUAUAGUUGUCUGCAAAUAAUUUAGCAGGCUAUAAAUAUAUGAAUUGAGAUGUGUAGAGAAAAAACACAACCAUUUACUGACUUAUUUCCCCAAUACUUAUUCAUAUAUAUAUAUAUGUAUUUAUACACACAUAUAUGUAUACAUGUAUAUAUACAUAUAUAGAUAAGCAAAUUAAUUUCUUUACUAUAUUUCCCCUAGUUACUUUUAAUGAUAAUUUUCAGUUUAAUGAAUAUUUCCAUAAGGAAUUGCUAGUUUUGUUUAAUUGAGUACUUGAAGCUGAAGUCCAAAGAGAAGUUUUAAUGAAACUGCCAGGUGCUUUAGUAUACACUACAUACUUAAAGAUGGCUCCUGUCUUGGAGUACCAGGGGAAGAAAAUCCAGAGUCACAGCUGCUGCCUUGUAAGACCUAAUGUUUUGCAAAUAGCCCUGCCUGGUGCUCAGCGGAGCAUCUCAUGAGAGGUGUGAAGAAUUCUGUAAUUUUAUGGCAUUUCUACAGUUCAAAGAGAACCCUGACCCCUUUAUCUACUAGUAUUCCAGUAAAAGACUCACCUUUUUUUAAAAGCCUGCAAGCCAAUUGGAGACGUUUUAGGAAUGCAUUUAUAGUCAUUUACAAAGAUUUCAUAAUUAAUUUGGCCGUCUAAAGUUAACAGGAUCAGAGGGAGGGAAAGGUUCAAAGGAAAGAAAACAAAUCAUAUUGGGAUGCCCCGAGCUAGGAUGCUCAUGCUACCAUGUACGAAGCGUGCGGUUUCCCAUUCCUCGGCUCUCACGAUUUUGUACUUACAAGUUGGACCUUUAAAAGGGCUGAGUAUGUCUUUGUGAGCACUGAAUGAAAAGUUCCUUUCAUUCCACACUGUGUAUUUAUACGUAUUAAGUUUUGUGAGGAUUUAAUGACAAACCCAGCAAGUGGCCAUUGAGUCAUACAUUAACUUUAUACGGAAGAGAUGGCUUGUCUCAGAGUUGGAGUGUUGAGCUGAAUUUCUGCACUAGUGCUUGACCAAAACCUACGCUGUGUCCUCCUCAGUCAUCACUUUCAUCGUCUUUGGAAAUGAAGGCAUUGGCCCAGAUGAUUCUUAGGGCUCUUUCCGUUCGAGUUCUUACGUUCGGUGAUUCUAUCUGAAUCACUGCUGUGAAGAAUCGACUGCAUUUGUUUUCUGAACGGUCCUAAGAGGCAGGAAGUUCAGCAUUCACCCGGGCGUUCUCAGUAAGCGAACAUCGGCUAAGCAUGGCCGCAAUGCCAGCCCGCAAUGCCAGCCCUCAGAGCUCAACGGCUCACUCCUGAGCUACGCUGCUCUCCCAGGCUCACGCUUAGUCAGUCGUUCUCUAGGAUUGAGCACUCGGACUGGAAAAUCACAGAUUGGCAUCAUAACGACGCUGCCAGCAAAAAUAAAAUAAAAAAAAGAGAUACAUUUUUCUGACUGGGAGAAUUGAUUGUCCACACUUAGUCACAGUGAUCAUGUCACAGGGGGGCUCUCUGAUAAAGAAGACAGUGAGUAUGGCACUCACUGAGGCCUGUCUUGUCCCCGAUUUUCAGUGAUAUUCUGUAGCAUCACGGGUCACAGUUAGGAUUAGAGACUUGUGGUCUCUACCACGGAGGUUCACCUAAACUGAUGAGUCUACAAUGGGAAAAAUGUGUUAUCCUCCCAAUCUCUCUCUUUUUUUUUUUUUUUUUUUGGAGCUGGGGACCGAACCCAGGGCCUUGCGCUUGCUAGGCAAGCGCUCUACCACUGAGCUAAAUCCCCAACCCCCAAUCUCUUUGUUGAGGUUCUUUACGUCAGGUUUUCUUAGCUACAUCUUUUAAUUUUCAUAUAGGAAAAUAAAAAAAAAACCCACGAGCUGUAACCACCAUCGUGGUUGUCCCUGGCAGCACCAGAAGACUUGGGAGGUAGAGAUGGGCUAGAAAGAUCGUGGAGCGCCCAGACUUCUGUGCUCUCACUGUGAUCCUUCCCUUUAUUGACUGUGUCACCCGUGCCAAGUCACUUUCCCCACUGCUCUCUUCAGUCAUUAACAAUAAUGCCCAGCUCAAAAAAAAUUUUUGAAAAGAGCAAUUUAAUUUGCUAUCUCAAAGGUACUUGGGGAGAAGGAAAGGGGGACCCAUUCCAGUUCAUUUUGCUUAAGGGAAAUAAUGCUGGUGAGAAAUACACGCCUGUGGUCAGAGGAUGUUAGAUUAGAGGAACUUAGCAAUCAUCAGGUAGACUCAUUUUAGGUUUGUGAAAACGAUUCCCGCAGAGAGGAAAACAUUAUCUAAGCUUUUAUUUAGACUGCAUCUGAAUGAAAAUUCAGCUAAAACUGGGAAUGAGUCCAUUAGUCUACUUUCUGUUGACUUUCUUCAUUAUAAAAUGAUCUUUCUUUGUAUCUGAAUUAUAUAAAAUUGAUCACUAAAAAAUCAAUGACUAAUAUAUCAGACCAAAAAAUCUUUGAUUUACCCCCAAUAGUUAUAGUGAAAACACUGUUAUUCUUACCUUUUCUAUCUCCAAAGAGAAGAGGAUAUUUCAUUAUUUCUUAUCCACCAAUUAUCACCAGUGUCUCUGUCUCUAGUAGGGAACCUUAGAGUGCACGUGCCUGUCAUCUUUUGGAAUCUCAAACUGACAAUUGCCGUUGGCUCCAGGACGGUUUUAUUGGUAGGACUUUAACUAAAAAGAUAAAGCAGUUCUUUUAUAUCAGUCAUUUUAAGACAAAUAAGCUGAUAUUGGGUCAAAUGAGCUUUCUAUGUUUAUGUAACUUACCUCCGUAAUAGGGGUAGGACACACUGAUGCUCUCCAGUUUUAUGGAUAAAAUGUCUAUGCAACGCCAGUCUAGGAAUGGAAUGAUUCUUCCAAAACCCUUAAUUCCAUGGAUGUGACAUCCAUUUUCUGUCUGAUCUCACUCCAUUUCCUCAUUGUGGUUGGUAACAUUCAGUUAACAAGCCACUUUUUUUUAAAGGUUUUUCCUUUUCUCAGUUUAUAGUCAGUUUCCUCAAAUUGAUUUUAGGCUUCUCAGAGUUGUGAUUCUCAUCUAGCUUCCUAAGUAUGAAAUCAAAGACACUACUGUAAAAACUGUAAAAGGAGUCCGCCAGAGUGACAGACAUUUGUAAUCGAGUGCCCAGGAAGCUAAAGCAAGAGGAUGGCACAUUGGCAUGUGGCCUGUACCAUGUGGUGAGGCCUUGCUUCCAAAAAGGUAUUUACGUGUUGUAAGUACGUAUAUGAGAUUUAAGAAUUUUCUUUCCAACAUGCAUUAGGUUUCUAGAUUGCUUUUAUUGCUGUUAAUACAGAUGGUGGGGCCAUGUAGAAAAUAACAUAACUUUAUGACCAGAAUUCAAACAAUUUCUGGCUUCAGUUUUCUCACUAUACCAUGUGGUGACAGUGUGCAUCAUAAGGACAAGAGAGUGACUGCAAGGAAGAGAACUCAGUGUCUGCUGUUCGUGGCUUCCCAGGGAUCUUGAUCCCUACACCAGUCUCUAGGUUACCUUUCCUAUCCUUGACACCCAACUCAUUUUUGGAGCACAAAGACUUCUUCAAUUAAAUAAGCAUAUUUUAUUACAACAAACACUGAUGGAAACCAUGGAAUGAUCAGUAACAAAAUGAAAACAUCACAAAAUUUAUGAUUCUUAAGUAAGAUUGUAUACUUGUGCUUGUUCCUAAAAGAAAAAAGAUGCAGUUCAAAUCUUAAGGUGGGUGCUGGAGAGAGGGCUCGGCAGUGAAGCUGCUGCUUUCCCAGAGGAGCAGGGUUCAGUUCUCAACAUCCAUAUUGGGCAGCUUACAACUGCCCAUAACUCUAGUGGCUGAACACUUGCCUAGCAUGGUGAUUCUCAACCCUAUGAAAACAAAACCAAAGACAACAAAGAACAUAGUAGAAUUCAAAUUACCUUGGCUACAUUUAAAAGAGUAGCAAUAUUUGUAUUUUCAAAUGUAUUAGAUUUGUAGGGCAACAAAAUGAAUAGAUCUCAAACAAUGCAUCCAUGAAGUGCAGUGCCACCGAAAUCUGCAUGUAAUUUUUACAGAGAAUGAGCAAUUUUCAGAAUCACAGGAAACCCAAGAUUACCCCACGUAACCAAAACAACCUUAAGAAAGAACAAAGUUAGAUAUGUCAUUCUAGUCUGAAAGUGUAUGACAAAGCUAUAGUAGGUAAAACAGUCUGACAGUGGUGUAAAGACAAUAAUAAAAUCCAACAGAACAGAACAAAUCCCAAAUCAGUUCAGGUGUGUAUAUGGCCAGCUGAUCUUCCACAAGGUUGCAAUGGAAGAAAACUCAUGCAUGUCUCUGAUCACACAGACAUUUUAAAUGGUACUCUCCAGGGUGUAUGGGUGCAGAAAUGGGCACUCUUCUAAAGAAAAACUGGCUGAGAAUCAAAUUUUUGUUUUGCAGAAAUGCUUGUGGCUAUCAUAUCACCUUUACAUUUUUUUUCUGUAGACUUGAGUUACAAUUUUAGGUGGCGGUAAUUUUCAGAACUUUGCUCAGAAAUGUCAGUGCCUUCUUCACUGCUGAUAAUUCCAGUGCCCCGAAUUUCACAGAAACACAGUGAGUCGGUGAAUCUUUGAUCUUAUACCAUGAUGGCUGCACAGCUCUGGUCGGAGGAGCCAGUUCUCUUCUAUCAAGAUGGUGGCAUAGCUUUCUGUGUUACACCAACAAUUUUUUGUUUUAUUGUUUGUUUCGUAGUUGAGAAACAUUUACUUUCUGGUCCAGCACAUGACAGAAUCAGCUUAGUAUUGAGCAAACCCCCGUGUGCACAGUGCAGGCACACAUUUCUACACUGACUGGUGAGCUGGUGUGAGUGUGGGACUGAGCUCUGAGUCUUCUGAGCCCCAGCCCAGUGUCAAAGACUGUACCAACCAUUCCUUUUAAAGACAAGACUUCUGUCUUCUUGCGAAAGAAAAUGCCCAGCAUGCCAAGCCGCUGCCUUCCCAUGGUACCUUUUCACAUGGUUCAAAUUGGGAAACCUAAGAUUUUCCUGAAACUAUAGAAAGACCCAUGAAGAUAACACAGUAAGUCUGAAAUCAAAAGUUUUAUCCCCCUAAACUGUAACUGCAGAGGAGUAUUUCCCGGUGAGGAUUAACUCAUCGCUGAGCUGCACCUUGGCUGCUUACUCUAUGUUUCCAUGGCUCCAGGCGUGUGUACAGCCUCACUAGAGCACUGCUAGCCUGAGCACUGCUACCGGCUGUGUCUUUAUUACCAGCACAUAAAGGGGGAGGACAGGGAUGUGACGGUAAGACUUCCUGAAGGCUGAUGUACAGGGGAGGAAUCUGCAUUACUUCCUGCGUAGCUUCUGCCCAGUUGUGCUUAGAAGGGGACUUUCCCCUUGGUAGACAAUUUUGAAUGUGGGAGAAUCUAUCAAAAUCCAGUUAUAAGGGAACACGCCAAUCCCCACUUCCUUGGGGUUUUUGGCAUAUCUUCAUAAACAUAGAGUCUGUUUUAUCUGAUUUCUGAAACUGACUUGCAUUCACGUAGGUGCCAGCCAUUUAAUUCCCCAGAGUGGUGGGGGCUUAUCUGGGGUUUCCUCAGAUAGCAUUAUUAGAAGACAGGAAAUAAAGGAAAUUCUUCCUAGAUUUAGACCAUUUCCCACUUUUAUCAGCUGUGCAGUUCUUGCUUAUUAUAGCCACAGCUUAAACGAUGCUAUCGAAGGAUGCGGGUAAUGCUGCUGCUAAUAAAAGCAUGUCUAGGUAUUUCAUUUAGACUACCCUUAUUCAUCUUAAACAUUAUUUUAAAGUCACAUUUAAGUCAACACACUUAAAGCUCCUAAAAUGCUCAAAAUAUUAUACAAGGGGUUUAUAGUGACAGACUUAUCAGAUUCUUGCUCCCAAAUCCUACAUCUGAUCUUAUCUAGAGAGCACUUUUAAGACAUUUUCCUUUUUUUUUUUUCUGUAUUGGAUUCAAUUUUUCCUGAAGCCCAACUUUUAACUCUUGUUCUUAGCAAAUAAAAGAUGCUUCUGAUUAAUUUUCCUCUAAAAGCCGGCUAUAAAUACUAUUUCCUUAUUUCUGUUCCUUUGAGAUGGGACUGCCAAAAAGAGAAAAGAAAUGUACUUUUCCAGUGUCACAGUGGUUAGCAUGCUCAGCCAAAUAUUUAAGUCUCAAGUCUCAGUAUACAUGUAUCCUGUAAAAUGGGUUAUGGUCUUAUGGGAUCUCUACUAGGUGAUUCAAGAAACUGAAAGGUUAAUAUCCUGUUCAAAAUAUUGCAAAAACAUUGAUUAUUCUUUAAAUACUAGACUGAUAUGAAAUAUCCUUGCAUGAUAAUCUUAUACCCCCACCGGUCCACAUACACACCACCCAUGCUUUCUGAGCAUACAAGCAUGAUGUGUGUCUUUCUAUCCAUUCGUCCUCACUCUCUCCACCAUUUUUGCCUUGGGCUUUUGAGUGUCUCAAACAUCCAGUUAUGGAAACCGGGGUGUUCUUAUGCUGUCGUUCUAAACGUGCUGGGUUAGCAAGGAAAGCACAAAGGAGAACGCUUCUGGAGUAAGCAGACAGGGGAGCAAGUGGGUAGGAAUUUUGCUAGAUGCUUUUUUGUUUUUGUUUUUUUUUUCUCUACUAGGUUUAGUGAAUGUUUUCUUCCUUGCUUCUGCCAUAUCAUGAAGGAAGCCCUCCAAAUAUUUUUAAUUUUUAUGAUGAAUAAUUUUGCUCGGUUGAACAGGCUGACUUAGUGGCGCUUAGAAGAGGCCGCAUCUCACCCACCCCUGCUCAUUCCGUAACUCGGGCUUUUAUUGACGACACGUCUUCUGAUUUUAAAUUAAAUGCUUCAGCUUCCCUGUAUCACUUCAAGUAUUCGAAAGUUCCACAUAGUAGUAAUUUCAUAAAAGAAUAAACUUACGCUCGAUUAACCAAACUAGCUUUAUUUGAAGAUACACUGUUUUCUCUGAUGACAUCCUUCUCCUAACUUAUGUUUUAUUUUUAGAGUUUUCAAAACCCAGGUCCAAGAAUACUUUACCAGUCACUUUGUCCAAAUUGCUGUUAGAUCCCAGCACAUGUUUUUCUAAACCAUUCGUAUAUUUCAGUUAUCAAAAAUAAAUUCUUAUUCUUUAUCAAGCAUAGUGUGUGAAAGCGUAGUAGGGUCUUCCUGUGACUCUUGGCGAUUUUUACGGUGCCCAGGCUGUAUGCAACACAGAGGGCAAAUAUAUGAUUUUAAUAUGAUUUUUGGUAGUAUGUUUCGAGUGUUAGUCAUAUGCUUUUUCAGGCAGAUACAUUCACUGGAAAUUUGGAAACUAAAAUUAGAAAUGAGAGCAAGCAGGAAUGGCCUGUGGAGAGAGCAUCUCGGAGAGGAUGGGUGUCAGUAUAAAUAUUAGAGUUAUCAAAGCAUUUUUAAGUUUACUUUAAUAGCAUUGAGGCCUCCAAAAUUGGUUCAUCAUUUUAUCUGACAUCUUUGUUCCACUGCCUUAUUAAUCUAUUCCCACUGUCUAUGGACAUGAUGUUCACAGCAGUUCACCAAUAUGUGUUUGAGAGAAGGAGGGAGAGAGAGAGA